AAGAGAUUAAAAAGCAGUUAAAGCCAUGGACAUCAAUAGUUGUGGUUGUUGUGAUGUGAUUAAGAGAUUAAAAAGCAGUUAAAGCCAUGGACAAAAAUAGAAAAAUAUAUUUGUUGAGAGUGGGAUUUGAACCCACGCCCUUUCGGACCAGAACCUUAAUCUGGCGCCUUAGACCAACUCGGCCAUCUCAACUUGUUGUUGACAUUUCUCCGAAAAACAAUAUUAUACAAUAAUAGUUAUGCAACCAACAAGGAAAAAAAAUGAAAUUAUGCAUCAUGUGAGAGGAGGUAGAAGGCGAUGAGGUAGCAGAUAGGUAUGAAGAACCAGAAGUUGAACCUGAUUCCGUUUCUACCGGACGAUGUCGCUGUGAACUGUCUCGUACGUGUUCCACGCUCUCAACACGCAACCCUCUCCCUUGUUUCCAAAUCAUUCCGUUUUCUCCUCUCUUCACCACUCUUCUUCACCGCUCGCUCUCUCCUUCACUCCACCCAACACAUCCUCUACCUCUCUAUUCGUACACGAGCCGCCACUCUCCAAUGGUUCACGCUCCAUAACAACAGUCACCUCAUUCCCCUUCCUCCUCUCCCUUCCCCCGCAAUCGGAUCUGCCUACGCAGUCAUCGGACAUGCAAUCUACGUCAUCGGCGGCUCAAUCAAUGAUAUCCCCUCCCGUCAUGUUUGGAUCCUCGAUUGCCGCUUCCACCGCUGGCUUUCCGGUCCUUCCAUGCGCGUCUCACGUGAGUUCGCAGCUGCUGGUGUCGUCGACGGCAAGAUUUAUGUCAUUGGUGGUUGCGUUCCUGAUAAUUGGUCUAGGUCAGUUAAUUGGGCAGAGGUAUUCGAUCCUGUUACCAACAGGUGGGAAGGCAUUUCCAGCCCACCGGAGAUUCGCGUGAAGUGGAUGCACGCCAGCGCUGUCGUGGAGGGUAAGAUUUACGCCAUGGCUGACCGCGGUGGUAUUUCGCUUGAUCCUGUUAGCGCCGCAUGGGAGAGUGUGGGGAGUGAACUUGACCUAGGGUGGCGUGGGAGAGCAAGUGUUGUGAAUGGGAUUCUGUAUUGCUACGAUUACUUGGGGAAGAUCAAAGGUUUUGACGUGGAGAAAAGGUUGUGGAAGGAAUUGAAGGGUUUGGAUAAGGGUUUGCCGAGGUUUCUUUGCGGGGCAACAAUGGCUGAUGUUGGUGGAAAAUUGGUUGUGGUUUGGGAGAGCCAAGGGAAUGCGAAUGGAAAGGGGAAAGAAAUGGAGAUUUGGUGUGCUGAGAUUGAUGUGAACAAGAACAAAGAUGGGGAAUUGUGGGGUGAAGUUUGUUGGUUAAGUAAUGUUCUCUCUGUUCCAAAAGGAUCCUCCAUUGUCCAUUGUUCUUCUGUUGCCGUGUGAUUAUUGUGCCUCACCAGGUUUAUUGAAUGGUGUUAGAAAUGCUACUCCUUUUGCUGAAUUUAUAUUCCAUAUAAGACGAAGUAUGUGGAUUGUCACCAGUUUCUACCAACACAUGUCCUGCAGGAUAAAGAUCCUCAAACACCCAGUGAUUACACUAAAUUUCUCCUUGGUCUUGCAAACUCUUUCUAGUUUGAUCGGGUGUCAUUUAUUGCUCCACUGGCGUAUUAAUAAACAGGAGCUGCUCUAGUAGUAAUAGAUACAUAUUUAUAGCUGUAGUGUUUUGUAUGUACAGUUUUGCACUUUCAUAGUUAUGUCUUCCACAUAUUUUCGAUGUGUAUCCUUGCCAAUCCUUAUGUUGCACAUAGUUGGUGAAUAUUGAGGCUUAACUCAUUUGCACAACUUGGGAAUCUGAGCUUAUGAGUUAUCUAUCAAAAUUGCUGGUAUGUGUGUGUUCAGUUGGAAGUUAUGCACGUGACUUAUAUAUUUGUUUCGUCUUAGUUGUUA